GUGGAUGUGAAAAAUCCUCCACUACCCGCCACAACCAAUGGUGGUGUGAAGGAAGAUCCAUUUUUCAGUUUGCUUACUGGUGGAAAUAUGAGACGUCUCUUGGCUUGGUGUGUGAAUGUGUGAAGUUUUUGCUGCUUCACUACCUGAAAACAAUUUCAUGCACAUCAAAGAGGCGCAGAGUAAGCCCCACACGAAAUCAACAACGAAAUCAAGAGCCGACAAAAAAAAGGAAAACAUAAGUCACCGUCCAACUUCAAGCACGCAAAAGCAGCAGCCCGCAAGAGAAUCCUCUCCUCCUUUUGCUAAGUUGUUACAAUGUGGCAGGCAGUCCACUGUGUUGUCUGUGUUGCAGAUGUUUUCGUUUUGAAGAAUCCAUAGCUGUCCACUGAAACUGUUCUCUGUCCAGGUAACUUUAGCUCCCAUCUUAUCAGGUUUAUGCUUGGUUGGGUUUAAUUUGAGUCUGUUCUUUCUUUUAUAUGAUAGUUAGGUGUUUAAUGUCGUUUUGAAAUAUGGGUUUUUGUUUGUUCAAGUGUAAUUCCUCCCGGAAUUGAAGUUUGGAUUCAAGUGGGAUUGAUUGCUCUCUGAUUUUCAGAUUUCUCUUGUUUGUAAGCAAUUGUAAAUUGGUAACUACCCAACUAUUCAGCCCAUUA